rnacentral:rRNA from 1 species
CGCUUCUUGUUAUUAAUAGAUUGGAAGUCGUUCCUGCUCAAUGAUGUGCGCAUUCAAUAGCAGCGGUAUAACUGACCGUUCAAAGGUAGUGUAAUUUCUAGUCCUUUAAUUGUGGGCCAAUGAAUGGAUUGACGGGUUGUGAUUGUCUCGAUUAUGUUUAGUAGAAUUUAACUUUUGGGUGAAGAGGCCUAGAUAGUGUAGGGGGACGAAAAGACCCUGUCAAACUUUAAUUAAAUGACACCAUUGUUUAUGGUGAUGGUAUGUUGUGUGAAAUUUUAGUUGGGGCAACUGGGAAGGAUAAAUACUUUUAAGAAAAUUUAAAUGUUUUAUUAAUUUGGAUAUCCAGAUAUUUUGAAUAUAGAAUAAGUUACUGGAGGGAUAACAGCAUAAUUCUUUUGGAGAGUGCGUAUUGAUAAAAGAGUUUGUGACCUCGAUGUUGAAUUGAAGCUAUCUUCUAGGUUGUAGCAGCUUAGGUAGUGGGUCUGUUCGCCCUUUAAUGCUUCCCA